rnacentral:rRNA from 1 species
AACGAACGCUGGCGGCAUGCCUAACACAUGCAAGUCGAACGAGAUCUUCGGGUCUAGUGGCGCACGGGUGCGUAACGCGUGGGAAUCUGCCCUUUGGUUCGGAAUAACAGUUGGAAACGACUGCUAAUACCGGAUGAUGACGAAAGUCCAAAGAUUUAUCGCCAGAGGAUGAGCCCGCGUAGGAUUAGCUAGUUGGUGUGGUAAAGGCGCACCAAGGCGACGAUCCUUAGCUGGUCUGAGAGGAUGAUCAGCCACACCGGGACUGAGACACGGCCCAGACUCCGGCGGGGGGGAGCAGGGGGGAAUAUUGGAGAAUGGGCGAAAGCCUGAUCCAGCAAUGCCGCGUGGGUGAUGAAGGCCUUAGGGUUGUAAAGCUCUUUUACCCGGGAUGAUAAUGACAGUACCGGGAGAAUAAGCUCCGGCUAACUCCGUGCCAGCCGCCGCCGUAA